CCAAACCGACACAGGUGGUCAGGUAGAGAAUACUCAGGCGCUUGAGAGAACUCGGGUGAAGGAACUAGGCAAAAUGGUGCCGUAACUUCGGGAGAAGGCACGCUGGCAUUAGGUAAAGGGACUUGCUCCCGGCGCCGAAGCCAGUCGCAGAUACCAGCUGGCUGCAACUGUUUAAUAAAAACACAGCACUGUGCAAACACGAAAGUGGACGUAUACGGUGUGACGCCUGCCCGGUGCUGGAAGGUUAAUUGAUGGGGUCAGCCGCAAGGCGAAGCUCUUGAUCGAAGCCCCAGUAAACGGCGGCCGUAACUAUAACGGUCCUAAGGUAGCGAAAUUCCUUGUCGGGUAAGUUCCGACCUGCACGAAUGGCGUAAUGAUGGCCAGGCUGUCUCCACCCGAGACUCAGUGAAAUUGAACUCGCUGUGAAGAUGCAGUGUACCCGCGGCAAGACGGAAAGACCCCGUGAACCUUUACUAUAGCUUGACACUGAACAUUGAGCCUUGAUGUGUAGGAUAGGUGGGAG
rnacentral:rRNA from 1 species